rnacentral:rRNA from 1 species
CGGGGCCCGCAAGGGUCCAGUGGCGAACGGGUGAGUAAUGAAUCGCUAAUGUACCCCGGACUCUGGGAUAGCCGGCCGAAAGGUCGGGUAAUACCAGAUGAUAUAACCGAACCGCAUGGUUUGGUUCUCAAAGGUCCGCCGGUCUGGGAGCAGGCGAUUUCGUAUCAGCUUGUUGGUGAGGUAACGGCUCACCAAGGCGACGACGCGUAGCCGGACUGAGAGGUUGGCCGGCCACAUUGGGACUGAGACACUGCCCAGACUCCUACGGGGGGCUGCAGUAACGAAUCUUCCGCAAUGCACGAAAGUGUGACGGAGCGACGCCGCGUGUAGGACGAAGCCCUUCGGGGUGUAAACUACUGUCAGGGGAAAGAAAGUUCUGAUCUACCCCAGAGGAAGGGACGGCUAACUCUGUGCCAGCAGCCGCGGUAAGACAGAGGUCCCGAGCGUUAGGCGGAAUCACUGGGCUUAAAGCGUGUGUAGGCGGAUGCCUAAGUACCUUGUGAAAUCCCACGGCUCACCCGUGGAACUGCUCGGUAUACUGGGUGUCUUGAGCCACUUAGGGGCUACCUGAACAAAUGGUGGAGCGGUGAAAUGCGUAGAUAUCAUUUGGAACGCCAAUGGUGAAAACAGGUAGCUGGGAGUGUGCUGACGCUGAGACACGAAAGCCAGGGGAGCAAACGGGAUUAGAUACCCCGGUAGUCCUGGCUGUAAACGAUGUCGACUAGAUCGCAGCGGCUCUGACGCCGUUGCGGUCGAAGCAAAAGUGCUAAGUCGACCGCCUGGGAAGUACGGUCG